AAUGCGCUAAGUAAUGUGCAUUGCAGAAUUCAGUGAAUCAUCGAAUCUUUGAACGCACAUUGCGCCCGCCAGUAUUCUGGCGGGCAUGCCUGUUCGAGCGUCAUUUCAACCAUCAAGCCCCCGGCUUGUGUUGGGGACCUGCGGCUGCCCGCAGGCCCUGAAAAACAGUGGCGGGCUCGCUGUCACACCGAGCGUAGUAGCAUACAUUCUCGCUCAGGGCGUGCUGCGGGUUCCGGCCGUUAAACGACCUUCAUAACCCAAGGUUGACCUCGGAUCAGGUAGGAAGACCCGCUGAACUUAAGC
rnacentral:misc_RNA from 1 species